rnacentral:snoRNA from 1 species
AGUCCAUGAUGAGGGACCUUCCUCAAUAAUUCCUUGUAACGCUCACAUGAUUCAUACAAUGAUUCUCCGUCCUACUGAUAAAAGGUGGUGAUAUCAUUCCUCAUCUU